rnacentral:rRNA from 1 species
UACGUAGGGAGCAAGCGUUGUUCGGAUUUACUGGGCGUAAAGGGCGCGUAGGCGGCGCGGUAAGUCACUUGUGAAAUCUCUGAGCUUAACUCGGAACGGUCAGUUGAUACUGUCAGGCUAGAGUGCAGAAAGGGCAAUCGGAAUUCUUGGUGUAGCGGUGAAAUGCGUAGAUAUCAAGAGGAACACCUGAGGCGAAGGCGGGUUGCUAGGCUGACACUGACGCUGAGGCGCGAAAGCCAGGGGAGCAAACGGG